rnacentral:rRNA from 1 species
CCUACGUGGGGCAGCAGUGAGGAAUAUUGGUCAAUGGGCGCGAGCCUGAACCAGCCAAGUAGCGUGAAGGAUGACUGCCCUACGGGUUGUAAACUUCUUUUAUAAAGGAAUAAAGUGAGGCACGUGUGCCUUUUUGUAUGUACUUUAUGAAUAAGGAUCGGCUAACUCCGUGCCAGCAGCCGCGGUAAUACGGAGGAUCCGAGCGUUAUCCGGAUUUAUUGGGUUUAAAGGGAGCGUAGAUGGGUUGUUAAGUCAGUUGUGAAAGUUUGCGGCUCAACCGUAAAAUUGCAAUUGAUACUGGCAGUCUUGAGUACAGGUGAGGUAGGCGGAAUUCGUGGUGUAGCGGUGAAAUGCUUAGAUAUCACGAAGAACUCCGAUUGCGAAGGCAGCUUACUAAACUGCCACUGACAUUGAUGCUCGAAAGUGUGGGUAUCAAACAGGAUUAGAUACCCUAGUAGUC